AGUGAACGCUGGCGGUAGGCCUAACACAUGCAAGUCGAACGGCAGCACAGGAGAGCUUGCUCUCUGGGUGGCGAGUGGCGGACGGGUGAGGAAUACAUCGGAAUCUACUCUGUCGUGGGGGAUAACGUAGGGAAACUUACGCUAAUACCGCAUACGACCUACGGGUGAAAGCAGGGGAUCUUCGGACCUUGCGCGAUUGAAUGAGCCGAUGUCGGAUUAGCUAGUUGGCGGGGUAAAGGCCCACCAAGGCGACGAUCCGUAGCUGGUCUGAGAGGAUGAUCAGCCACACUGGAACUGAGACACGGUCCAGACUCCUACGGGAGGCAGCAGUGGGGAAUAUUGGACAAUGGGCGCAAGCCUGAUCCAGCCAUACCGCGUGGGUGAAGAAGGCCUUCGGGUUGUAAAGCCCUUUUGUUGGGAAAGAAAUCCAGCUGGUUAAUACCCGGUUGGGAUGACGGUACCCAAAGAAUAAGCACCGGCUAACUUCGUGCCAGCCGCCGCCGUAACAC
rnacentral:rRNA from 1 species